CCUACGGGAGGCAGCAGUGAGGAAUAUUGGUCAAUGGACGAGAGUCUGAACCAGCCAAGUAGCGUGAAGGAUGACUGCCCUAUGGGUUGUAAACUUCUUUUAUAUGGGAAUAAAAUGUUCCACGUGUGGGAUUUUGUAUGUACCAUAUGAAUAAGGAUCGGCUAACUCCGUGCCAGCAGCCGCGGUAAUACGGAGGAUCCGAGCGUUAUCCGGAUUUAUUGGGUUUAAAGGGAGCGUAGGUGGAUUGUUAAGUCAGUUGUGAAAGUUUGCGGCUCAACCGUAAAAUUGCAGUUGAAACUGGCAGUCGUGAGUACAGUAGAGGUGGGCGGAAUUCGUGGUGUAGCGGUGAAAUGUGUAGAUAUCACGAAGAACUCCGAGUGCGAAGGCAGCUCACUGGACUGCAACUGACACUGAGGCUCGAAAGUGUGGGUAUCAAACAGGAUUAGAUACCCCUGGAGUC
rnacentral:rRNA from 1 species